AUGCAAAUUCUGGAGUAAUACACCUGGCCUGCCUAGAGAUGUUACAAGUGGCCUAAUGGAUUUUUCUAGCCUGGACGCCCACUGGGGACAAGGAUCAUUACUGACAGGAUUGUAUCUCUACCCUUGACUCCAUGGGAAUAUUUGGUCUGCUCUCUCGGGCUCCCUCUAAAAUCAUAUCCUUUAAGCAUUCCAGAAGGAUUUUGAGAACCAUCCUUUCCUAAAUCAAAGCUAGAAUAUUUGGAGAUUUGGAAAAUUGAGGUGAGAAGCAUUGAUUUAAGAGAUG
rnacentral:lncRNA from 1 species